GCCUUUGUAGCUCAGUGGUAGAGUACGCCUUUCGUACGCGAUUUUCGUAACGUCAGGGUGGGGUCCGUGGUUCAAACCCACGCUGAGGCA